GUCUACGGCCAUACCACCCUGAACACACCCGAUCUCAUCUGAACUCGGAGGCUAAGCAGGGUCGGGCCUGGUUAGUACUUGGAUGGGAGAAACAAGCCAAGCUAAGGCU
rfam:Cricetulus griseus cell line CHO-K1, whole genome shotgun sequence.